rnacentral:rRNA from 1 species
GACGAACGCUGGCGGCGUGCUUAACACAUGCAAGUCGAACGGAAAGGCCCUUCGGGGUCCUCGCGUGUCGAACGGGAGAGUGACACGUGGGUGAUCUUCCCUGCACUUUGGGAUAAGCCUGGGAAACUGGGUCUAAUACCGAAUAGCACCACGCGCUUCAUGGUGUGUGGGGGAAAGCUUUUGCGGCGUGGGAUGGGCGCGAGGCCUAUCAGCUUGUUGGUGUGGUAAUGGCAUACCCAGUCGACGACGGGUAGCCGGCCUGGGCGGGUGACCGGCCCCGCUGGGUCUGGGCUACGGCCCAGACUCGUACGGGACGCAGGACAGGAGAAGAGUGUACAGUAGAAGGGAGCCAGCUGCGACGACGCGGCGUGGGGGAUGACGGCCAUGGGGUUGUAUACCUAUUUCAAGAGGGAAGAGGCGAAAGUGACGGUACCUAUAGAGAAAGCACCGGCCAACUACGUG